AAUUUAAUUUAUCAGUUGCCAUGGUUUAACAAAGUCUGGUUUUCAGCUGGGAGGGGGGAUGGUUCCCAGGGGGGACCUGGCAGAGCUAAUCAGCGGGCUAGGUUUGAAGAUUGACACAUGGUUAAACCACUUAAAAGCGUUGAAUACGCCUCUGUGGAAAAACACAUUUAAAGACAAAAAGCACAGGAAUGUUCUCUUGGCUUCCAGCCUGGGAACAGGUAACCAGCCUGGGAACAGGUAAACGGCCUGGGAACAGGUAAACGGCCUGGGAACAGGUAACUAGCUUGAGAACAGGCCUGGGAACAGGUAAACGGCCUGGGAACAGGCCCUGCAUGAAGGAAAGGCGCAGGGGUGGCACAGAGUGACUCGCAAAGUGCCAGCGUGAACCACGUGAUCAGCAGCAAGAGACACAGAGAUUCCUCAAUCGCAGAGCCUAGAUGAGAUCAACCUUUCAACACUGCAGAACUCUUUUAUAAAAACUGUUUCAAUUAAUAAAGCUCGAGAACAAACA